rnacentral:rRNA from 1 species
GCCCGGCGAAAGUCGGAUUAAUACCCCAUAAAACAGGGGUCCCGCAUGGGAAUAUUUGUUAAAGAUUCAUCGCUGAUAGAUAGGCAUGCGUUCCAUUAGGCAGUUGGCGGGGUAACGGCCCACCAAACCGACGAUGGAUAGGGGUUCUGAGAGGAAGGUCCCCCACAUUGGUACUGAGACACGGACCAAACUCCUACGGGAGGCAGCAGUGAGGAAUAUUGGUCAAUGGCCGAGAGGCUGAACCAGCCAAGUCGCGUGAAGGAAGAAGGAUCUAUGGUUUGUAAACUUCUUUUAUAGGGGAAUAAAGUGGAGGACGUGUCCUUUUUUGUAUGUACCCUAUGAAUAAGCAUCGGCUAACUCCGUGCCAGCAGCCGCGGUAAUACGGAGGAUGCGAGCGUUAUCCGGAUUUAUUGGGUUUAAAGGGUGCGUAGGUGGUGAUUUAAGUCAGCGGUGAAAGUUUGUGGCUCAACCAUAAAAUUGCCGUUGAAACUGGGUUACUUGAGUGUGUUUGAGGUAGGCGGAAUGCGUGGUGUAGCGGUGAAAUGCAUAGAUAUCACGCAGAACUCCGAUUGCGAAGGCAGCUUACUAAACCAUAACUGACACUGAAGCACGAAAGCGUGGGGA